GCGGUCGCAGCCGCGGAGGAGUGAGUCGUGGUGGUUGGCGGCGGCGGCCGGUGGAAGGCGCUCGCUCGGGAACGUGGUUUAUCCCAGGCGCGUCGGAGACGUCGCUUCAGUUUCCGAUCAGCCCGACAACCGGUAGGGUCGGGCUGUCCCUGAACGUCUGAUCGGUGGGGUUGAUUGAAAAUGGGCUUUCGGAGGCGUUGCCACUUCCAGAACGGCAGCGGCUCUGGCGUGGCUUGAAUCGAAGGAACAGUGCGCGGUGUUUUCUUCGACCGGGCCGUUUUGGUAGUGGUCGUGUUGCAAAGAAAAUCGUUUUCGAAAACUGCCGGUGAAGACGUGGAGCUACGUUUCGCGUGUCUACGAAAUAGCGGAGUAGUUGGUCUUCCGAAGAAUCCCGGAGAUUGACCAAGGGACAGUGGCAAAGAACUGGCGGUGUGUGAGGGCUCAACACGGACACGCCAACGACCAACGCAGGCCGGUUGAUUGAUUGUUUACUUUUCCCACGGCUGCUCUUUGACGAGACAUUGCUCGCGCGUUUGUGCAAUAGAGCGCUUUCGGUUUCGGCGUGCUUGGACUCAACUAUAAGCAGACACUAGCGCGACGUUCUGGGGCCUGAGAUGGUGUCGUAGAACUCGCGUCGCACUUGACCGCCUUUCAAGAGAAAUUCGAAAGAAAAAGCGUCGGGCUUUGGAACUUAAGACCGUGAACUGGGACUCGGUGAACCGCAUUGUUAUGCCAUUUGCGCACCAGUGCGAUAUGGAUUGUCACUGAUCGUAAGUCCGGUCAACCAACCACCCUCUACGUUUCGAAUGCAUCAGAGGAGGAAGUGUCACUUCAAAGCGCUCCGUUGCAAUACAUAGCCAACGUGGGAUAGAAGGAGCAAGUGGCUCCUCGGUUGCAACGCUGCUUGUACGCGAAGGAAAACGAAAGUGCUACGUCAGCGAGGACUUUGCAUUCUGCACAACAGAUUGGAUUUGCCCGGUGACUUAAAGGAAAAAAGCAUUAUAAGUAGACGCCGUUGUGAGCCCUGGGUCGCCGUUGCACCGACCGCGAGCCGAGACAAUUGGAGCCCGUGAAAUCGAUCUCGGCUCCGUUUCGCGCCACCGAUACAGAAAGAGAGCCCCGGGUGCUCCCCGGGAGAAAGCGUCGCGCUUUUCGAUUGUUUACGGAGCCGGUACACCGCGCCGUUGACGCCUUCUUCUCCCGCUGCAGGCCGAUAACACCGGCAGAAGGAUCUUCAGGCGGGAUUUGAGUUGAACCAGUGUUUGAUCCGGCCUGUGUACACAGUGUUUGUCUCGGACGUCAAACGCACGACUGUCGCGGCGAUUCGUCCGAAAGCUACCUCGAGUGGGUGUUGUGACCGAGAGUGACGUACGUGACGUCGAAGAAAUAUCGUCGCACGUUUUUCUUUGUGACGGUCGGCUUGCCCUCUCCUCUGAAUCCGCCGGUUCAUCGUGGUUUUCCUUCUCGCGUCCUUGGGGUGACGCUCGGUGUCGACAUCCUUAUCUAGACGGAUAAAUGCCGCGCUCGUGGACUCCAAAGAAGGCCGUUUCGAAAAUGGUGCCAACUGUCUAGCAAAGGACGGCAUAUACGGGUGCAUACAAGAAGUCGGCGUGAAAGCUUUGCGGGGUACCUGAAGGAUUAUUGGUGGUUCCCCUUGUGGACUGCGUCAAGAACCGUUCGGCACUGUGCCUGCUGACGCCGUCUUCGAAGCAAUCACUCAGUGAUAUUCUGAUAGUACUUGAUUUCCUAGCGUCUGCGGACCCAUACGCACUUGUUGGUCGCGGCGAAUUCCGCAUUGACAGAGUCAAGCUUCGACAAGAAACCUCGCAGCACCACAGCAUCUGCUACUUUCGGCUGAUCUUACUGGACGUUCGGGCCAAGCAGUUUUACUCCCACAGUAGCGCUUUACUUCGAGAAAUUGCUAAAAUUGCCACUCGUAACACGACGUCGAGGAAUUUGAUGUAACCGCAGUCUUCGUUAGAGAGCGCCGUCCGAAGAAGUAACAACGAAACGUCAGCAUUGUUGAAAGACUGCGUCGCGAAAUACGCAAGACUGCGGGAUUGAAGGACAGGCUUCUUUUUUUUUCCUUCGUUGCGGUAGAACAAAAAAAAAAUGAUUCUCGUUUCGAGGGAGUGCCUAGCGAGAAGUCUGCAAACAACCCUCUAACAUUAGUCCCAGGUUCGACCACUACCAUGGUCGCCCAGGACAGACGCAAAGAAUCUCAUUGCUGUCUACUGCAACAACUUUGAAGAAGGCAAGAGCCCAAAGCAGCUGUUUGACGUCACCCAUUCACGCGGAGAGGUCCUGUGUUUUUGCAACCCUAACGUACUGUCAUCACUAUCACUCCGAGGACUUCGAGCCCUUGGCAGUCUUUUCCGUUAUUGUUGUAAUCCUCGUUGUUCUAACCAUGUACAGAAACACGCCACAACGGACGCGGAGAAAACGCCUGGCUGUCACUCUUGACUUACUUGGAGACCGGCGCAUCUUCAAAGCGUUACCUUCUCGGCAGUGAAGCGUACUUGAAGUCAAGUUCGUACUAAUAGCUUUGUAGAGCUUCUCUUUGACGCUAAUCAGAGUGUCCCUUCGAAGUCCAUAUUGUAGCAUUAAGCGAAGAAUGCCGCACCGUUGUUGACGUAGUAACGGUCAGUCUUCUUGUUCUGCUUGUCGUUAAAGCGUGCCUUCUUUACUGGCACUAGUGUAAUAUAGUAGUUACUUACAACUCUGUGUAUCGCCAUUCAAUGUCUCGUCGCAUUGUUCACUGUCUGUCCCGUAUAGUGUGCCACAACAACUUUGUCGUGAUAGCGAAGCUCAAUUCCUAGAAAAAAGUAAGAGCCUGAGUUCGCUUCGUCAGUUGAACUUUUGAAUGUCUAAGCACCACGCAACACCCACAAUUGCUGGUCACUCUCUGUCGUCCUAGUUCCAGCCAGAAGCAAUGACUUAGCAGAGCACGCCGUUCUCAAUGGCAUUCGUACGAGACGGGACGAAACUCAGCGUUGAUGGUACGGGCGUUUCUAUCGGAAUAUUUUGAUGUCAGGCGCCGAAACCUUGACGCAUUGAUUAAAGUAGGAAAGCUUCUCUAACGGACGUCCUCUUUCACGACCGAUGGGUGACAGGUCAUUUUUCGUGCCAAGGUGACGUCGAGCGAAGGACAUUGUCGUAGAGGCUGCUCCCUUUAGCAGCUUCCUUUAGUGAAGCAAGUACUCUAGCGUUGAGUUAGCAUCCGGUCCAAGCUACGAGAGCACGCGAAGGAGCCAUUGGCCGCUUGAAGAAGGGACGUUGGUCCGCCGGUGCCCUGUCGGUCAUUAUGCACAAGCUGCAGUUACUCGUGCGAAGGAAGCACCGUUGCAGUGAAUUCUUCCGGAGCGUGGUAGCAGAAAGAAGGACUUUGGGAAAGGAAACGGCGAACCCCCUUGGUGAGGGCUUUCAAAAGCAAAUUCUUGCAGGCUGGUAGCUGACAACGUGCAAACAGGUCUGUCCUGAGGGCUGUCUCAUUGUGUUUGUUAACCAAAGAGAACCUACCCGUCCGUGAAAACAUCAAGAGGACGGAAGACCCAGAUAAAUUUAUCGGAGUGUUGUUUGUAACAAAACGAGGCCGACUAAAAACGAUUUGAGUGCGACGGGCCGGGGAUACCGGCGGCUGACGGAAGUUCUGCUCCUUCAGAAACCAGCUGUUUAACGCUGGCACCGCUGACUUUGGGAUCAGGCUACUGAGUAUUUCUUCGUCUAUCGACACCGGCUCCGCCUACUCAUUCUGGCACCGGCUACUGACUCUGCGCCUGUUACCGAGUCUGAGCAAGUAGGAGUCGACUACGCCAGAACAUAGAAUCGACGCUGGAAAACGAGAAACAUUGACGUGAAUCGCGCGGUACCAGCCGGACUCUGUGCUUUCUUUCGUCCUCGAACGAUGAAGAGCUGCUGAGAAACGAACUCGCGCGUCCUCGACGAAGCUGGGUAACCUGGGGUCGUCGUCCAGCGGCCUGGCUUCGGCCAACGCUGCGGCCAAUGGUGCGGCCGGCGGCAGCGAGGAUUCGCUGCAAUGGUGCCACAAUGGCACGCACUACCUUGAUGGCCGCGGUACCAUACCUCCCCCUGGUGGCGCCGUCGUUAAGCAGCCCUGGCGAACGGACGGCACAAACAG
rnacentral:lncRNA from 1 species